rnacentral:lncRNA from 1 species
GACUACGGAACCAAAAUAAAAGAAGAACCCCAAAUGCGACAAGGUCCCCGAUCGACCCCAACUGGGCUCCACUACUGAUCUACUAGAACGAAACAACACAAAGGACAAGAUCUUCAUCGAGCUCCUCCUUGGGCUUGGUUGCGUCACCUGCUUGGUAACAUCAGCACCUGCAAACUGGUUUUGGAAGUAUCUGUGAGUCACAGGGACUCAGCAAUCUCGCACCCUCACGAUCAAGACUAUUUAAGCUUAUGGGUAAGGUAAAGGUAUGAGGUGGAGCUGCAGCAAGCGGCUAGCAUAUAUGGUGGCUAACAUACGCAAAUGAGAGCGGGAAGAGAAGGCAAAGCACGGUCGUUAAAAGUAUGAUCAAGAAGUGAUCCUAGAACAACCUACGUCAAGCAUAACUCCAACACCGUGUUCACUUCCCGGACUCCGCCGGAAAGAGACCAUCACGGUAACACACGCGGUUGAUGCAUGUUAAUCAAGGUCAACUUCAGGUUUUCUACAACUGGACAUUAACAAAUUCCCAUCUGCCCAUAACCGCGGGCACGAGUUUCGAAAGUUCAAAUCCCUGCAGGGGUGUCCCAACUUAGCCCAUCACAAGCUCUCACGGUCAACGAAGGAAUAGACCUCCUCCCGAGACAUUCCGAUCAGACUCGGUAUCCCGGUUCUACAAGACAUACUCGACAAUGGUAAAACAAGUCCAGCAAGACCACCCGAUGCGCCGACAUCUCGAUAGGAGCUGCACAUAUCUCGUUCUCAAGGCAACACCGGAUAAGCAAUCUGUACAACUAAAACCAGCCCUCGAGUUUCACCGAGGUGGCGCUGCAAGGGGCUCUAGUUCGGACCAACACUUAGACAAGCACUGGCCCGGGGGGUUAAAAUAAAGAUGACCCUCGGGAUGUGCGACUCCCAAGGGAAAAAGGGUAGGUGGCGAAUGGUAAAAUCGGGCCUUGCUGGAGGAGUUUUAUUCAAAGCGAACUGUCAAUGGGUUCCCAUUAUAACCCAACCGCGUAAGGAACGCAAAAUCCGGGAACAUAACACCGAUAUGACGGAAACUAGGGCGGCAAGAGUGGAACAAAACACCAGGCAUAAGGCCGAGCCUUCCACCCUUUACCAAGUAUAUAGAUGCAUUAAUUAAAUAAGAUAUAUUGUGAUAUCCCAACAAGUAAAACAAUGUUCCAACAAGGAACGAUCUCCAUGUUCCAACAAGGAACAAACUUCAAUCUUCACCUACAACUAACAACGCUAUAAGAGGGGCUGAGCAAAGCGGUAACAUAGCCAAUCAACGGUUUGCUAGGAUAAGGUGGGUUAGAGGCUUGGUUCAACAAUAUAGGAGACAUGAUAAGCAAGUGGUAGGUAUUGCGGCAUAGGCAUAGCAAAAGAGCGAGCCACUAGCAAGCAAAGAUAGAAGUGAUUUCGAGGGUAUGGUCAUCUUGCCUGAAAUCCCGCAAGGGAGAAGAACGAGUCCAUGAAGAAGACAAACGGACGAAGUCGAAGGGAUCCUCACAAAUGCGACGUUAUCGGAACCAACCCGAAGAAGCAACACCGGAAAGGAGCAAACAAUCAUGGUAAACAACCACCACAUAAGCAUGGCACGAUGCACAAUCAAGUAUGAUGCAUGUCCGGUUUAAAUAUGCAUGGCAUGGCAAAGUGCACAAACAAUCCUACAAAUUAAGUGGAGCUCAAUAUGCAACAAGUUGCAUGUUGACGAAACACCACGAC